AGGUGUGUGAGGAGUAAGUUGAAGCCCCCGGAGUCGAAACAAGGAAAGACGCCCAGGGGCUUUUUCU
rnacentral:sRNA from 19 species